rnacentral:rRNA from 1 species
UAGGACGAACGCUGGCGGCAUGCUUAAUACAUGCAAGUCGAACGGGAUAUUGAGGGCUUGCCUUUGAUAUCUAGUGGCGAACGGGUGAGUAACACGUGAGCAACCUGCCUACCACACAGGGAUACCAGUCCGAAAGGAUUGCUAAUACCGGAUGAGAUCACGGGACCGCAUGGUCCUGUAGGUAAAAAGCUCAGGCGGGUGGUAGAGUGGGCUCGGCGGUACAUUAGCUAGUUGGUGAGGUAACGGCCCACCAAGGCGAUGAUGUAUAGCCGACCUGAGAGGGUGAUCGGCCACAUUGGGACUGAGAUACGGCCCAGACUCCUACGGGAGGCAGCAGUAAGGAAUAUUGGGCAAUGGGGGCAACCCUGACCCAGCAAUGCCGCGUGAAGGAAGAAGGUUUUCGGAUUGUAAACUUCUUUUAUAUAGGACGAAUGGAUGACGGUACUAUAUGAAUAAGCCCCGGCUAACUACGUGCCAGCCGCGGC